AGUGAACGCUGACGGAAUGCUUUACACAUGCAAGUCGAACGGCAGCACGGGGGCGAACCCUCGGUGGGCGAGUGGCGAACGGGUGAGUAAUACAUCGGAACGUGCCCAGUCGUGGGGGAGUAACGUAGCGAAAGCUACGCUAAUACCGCAUACGAUCUCUGGAUGAAAGCGGGGGACCGGCAAGGCCUCGCGCGAUUGGAGCGGCCGAUAUCGGAUUAGCUUGUUGGUGAGGUAAAGGCUCACCAAGGCGACGAUCCGUAGCUGGUCUGAGAGGACGACCAGCCACACUGGAACU
rnacentral:rRNA from 1 species